CCAAGGGGGAGUGCGCAUGCCCAGUGUCUCCUGAACAAACAGGGCAACAUCUCCCGGACCUUGUGACUUUGGCUGGUGUUUACAGAGUGAAGCUGCUUUGGCGUAUCCUGAUGAGCAAAGCAAGGCUUAAAGAGCUAAGGAGACUGUGGGAAUGAAGGUUUCGAAGUGGUCUGAAUGGAGAAAGAAGCGGUGGGAGAGCUGAGUCAUCAUGCAGCACACGGCAAGGUAGCAGAAAACCCUGGAGAACAACAGCAGCCUGCCCCAGAGUCAGCCGUGAGCGCUGAUUUAGUUUCAGGAAAACAAUAACACUUUGUCCCAUUAAAUUAAUGUUGUUAAUUUGAAGUUUAUUGGUUUUGCAGUUUGCUUUUAUUUCAUUUAUAAAUUUGUUUUAGCUUUAUGGCUGUGAGAGAGCUCCCUGCAUAAGGAACGUGUACCUGGUUUUAUGUUUGUACAUAUUUAAGUAACAUUAUACUAAAUAUAACUCAAGUCAACAGAGAGCAAUCACAAUGUUUCCCCUCUAAGUGGGGUCUGCACCUUCCUUAAGGAGGGAAAUACAUCUCUUGUCCCCCAGGGUGGAAGCCAUAGAGGGUGCUCACAACCCUGUCUUCAGCUGGCUGCCAGCAGGGCUGUCCUGGCUUGCUUGGGGCCUGUGAUGCUGGACCCCAGUGGAGAGGGAGGGCACGCGUAGGUGGCUCCUCUGAGCAGGUGGCUGUCUACAGGCUGGGGAUGGCAGGGCCCCGGAAGGUCUGUCCCGCCCUGGCCUCCCUCCUGGCUGCUGCCCUACAUUCCUUUGUCUUGGCCCAGGGAGCCCUUAGCCUUAUGGCAAAUUCUUGAAAAGUGUCCCUGACCCAAAGGCAGGGAGGGCCCUGUAGGAACACCCAGGGUCUCAAGGCCAUGGUGGG
rnacentral:lncRNA from 10 species